GCAGCAGGCGCGAACCUUUACACUGCACGCAAGUGCGAUAAGGGGACUCCGAGUGCGAGGGCAUAUCGUCCUCGCUUUUCUGUACCGUAGGGCGGUACAGGAACAAGGACUGGGCAAGACCGGUGCCAGCCGCCGCGGUAAUACCGGCAGUCCAAGUGAUGGCCAAUCUUAUUGGGCUAAAGCGUCCGUAGCCGGCCUCGAAAGUCCGUCGGGAAAUCCACUGGCUCAACCAGUGGGCGUCCGGCGGAAACUUCGAGGCUUGGGACCGGAAGGCUCGAGGGGUACGUCCGGGGUAGGAGUGAAAUCCUGUAAUCCCGGACGGACCACCGAUGGCGAAAGCACCUCGAGAAGACGGAUCCGACGGUGAGGGACGAAAGCUAGGGUCUCGAACCGGAUUAGAUACCCGGGUAGUCCUAGCCGUAAACGAUGUUCGUUAGGUGUGGCACUGGCUACGCGCCAGUGCUGUGCCGUAGGGAAGCCGAGAAACGAACCGCCUGGGAAGUACGUCUGCAAGGAUGAAACUUAAAGGAAUUGGCGGGGGAGCACUACAACCGGAGGAGCCUGCGGUUUAAUUGGACUCAACGCCGGACAUCUCACCAGCUCCGACUACAGUGAUGACGAUCAGGUUGAUGACCUCAUCACGACGCUGUAGAGAGGAGGUGCAUGGCCGCCGUCAGCUCGUACCGUGAGGCGUCCUGUUAAGUCAGGCAACGAGCGAGACCCGCACCCCUAAUUGCCAGCAGCAGUCUCGACUGGCUGGGUACAUUAGGAGGACUGCCAGUGCCAAACUGGAGGAAGGAACGGGCAACGGUAGGUCAGUAUGCCCCGAAUGAGCUGGGCUACACGCGGGCUACAAUGGCCGGGACAAUGGGUUGCAACCCCGAAAGAGGGCGCUAAUCUCCGAAACCCGGUCGUAGUUCGGACUGAGGGCUGAAACUCGCCCUCACGAAGCUGGAUUCGGUAGUAAUCGCAUUUCACAAGAGUGCGGUGAAUACGUCCCUGCUCCUUGCACACACCGCCCGUCAAAGCACCCGAGUGAGGUCCGGAUGAGGCCAUUCACAAUGGUCGAAU
rnacentral:rRNA from 1 species